rnacentral:rRNA from 1 species
GAUGAACGCUAGCGGCAGGCUUAACACAUGCAAGUCGAGGGGCGAGCAGGGGUAGCAAUACUCGCUGGCGACCGGCAAACGGGUGCGGAACACGUACGCAACCUUCCCAGAACUGGUGAAUAGCCCUCGGAAACGAGGAUUAAUACACCGUAAGAUAUAGUAGUGGCAUCACUGUUAUAUAAUAGCUCCGGCGGUUCUGG